CCUACGGGUGGCUGCAGUCGAGGAUCUUCGGCAACGGGCGAAAGCCUGACCGAGCGACGCCGCGUGCGGGAUGAAGGCCUUCGGGUUGUAAACCGCUUUCGGAGGGGAGGAAAUCUAGGGGGGAUCACCCCUCUAGUUGACCUAUCCUAGGAAGAAGGACGGGCUAAGUUCGUGCCAGCAGCCGCGGUAAUACGAACCGUCCAAACGUUAUUCGGAAUUACUGGGCUUAAAGGGUGCGUAGGCGGCCCGGUAAGUUGGGUGUAAAAUCCCUGGGCUUAACCGAGGAAUUGCGCCCAAAACUGUCGGGCUCGAGGAAGAUAGAGGUGAGCGGAACUCAGGGUGGAGCGGUGAAAUGCGUUGAUAUCCUAAGGAACACCGGUGGCGAAAGCGGCUCACUGGGUCUUUUCUGACGCUGAGGCACGAAAGCUAGGGGAGCGAAGAGGAUUAGAUACCCGGGUAGU
rnacentral:rRNA from 1 species